UGGGGUUCCGUGCUCUGUCCCAGGGUUUCGUGCGCUUCUUAUGGGGAUCUGUCUGUUCUUAUGGGAGUCGGUGCGCUCCUAUAGGGUUCCAUGCUUUGCGCGCCCCCUCCUUCGCCUCCCUCAGCGCCCCCUCCAGGGACUGCACUCGCGCAGCCGUAGCCCGAAGGCGCUUCUCCAACUUCGGAAGCUCACAGCGCAGAUCUGCAUUGUCACGCACCAACUGCG
rnacentral:lncRNA from 1 species